rnacentral:rRNA from 1 species
CUGCGAUAAGCGCCGGUAAGGUGAUAUGAACCGUUAUAACCGGCGAUACCCGAAUGGGGAAACCCAGUGUGAUUCGUCACACUAUCAUUAACUGAAUCCAUAGGUUAAUGAGGCGAACCGGGGGAACUGAAACAUCUAAGUACCCCGAGGAAAAGAAAUCAACCGAGAUUCCCCCAGUAGCGGCGAGCGAACGGGGAGGAGCCCAGAGCCUGAAUCAGCAUGUGUGUUAGUGGAAGCGUCUGGAAAGGCGCGCGAUACAGGGUGACAGCCCCGUACACAAAAGCGCAUGUGCUGUGAGCUCGAUGAGUAGGGCGGGACACGUGGUAUCCUGUCUGAAUAUGGGGGGACCAUCCUCCAAGGCUAAAUACUCCUGACUGACCGAUAGUGAACCAGUACCGUGAGGGAAAGGCGAAAAGAACCCCGGCGAGGGGAGUGAAAAAGAACCUGAAACCGUGUACGUACAAGCAGUGGGAGCCCCACCACCAAAGCAUUUGCUGUACCGCGUUGACGGAGCGAAGCGACGUCAAACCGAUAAAACAGCAGUGUAAAGUGAGCCGCAGGGCGCUUUGCGCGACAGCGCAAAGGCAGGCGGUUUCGCGUAGCGAAAGCGAAUGCUUUGGGGUGGGGUGACUGCGUACCUUUUGUAUAAUGGGUCAGCGACUUAUAUUCUGUAGCAAGGUUAACCGAAUAGGGGAGCCGGAGGGAAACCGAGUCUUAAUUGGGCGUUAAGUUGCAGGGUAUAGACCCGAAACCCGGUGAUCUAGCCAUGGGCAGGUUGAAGGUUGGGUAACACUAACUGGAGGACCGAACCGACUAAUGUUGAAAAAUUAGCGGAUGACCUGUGGCUGGGGGUGAAAGGCCAAUCAAACCGGGAGAUAGCUGGUUCUCCCCGAAAGCUAUUUAGGUAGCGCCUCGUGAAUUCAUCUCCGGGGGUAGAGCACUGUUUCGGCUAGGGGGCCAUCCCGGCUUACCAACCCGAUGCAAACUGCGAAUACCGGAGAAUGUUAUCACGGGAGACACACGGCGGGUGCUAACGUCCGUCGUGAAGAGGGAAACAACCCAGACCGCCAGCUAAGGUCCCAAAGUCAUGGUUAAGUGGGAAACGAUGUGGGAAGGCCCAGACAGCCAGGAUGUUGGCUUAGAAGCAGCCAUCAUUUAAAGAAAGCGUAAUAGCUCACUGGUCGAGUCGGCCUGCGCGGAAGAUGUAACGGGGCUAAACCAUGCACCGAAGCUGCGGCAGCGACACUGUGUGUUGUUGGGUAGGGGAGCGUUCUGUAAGCCUGUGAAGGUGUGUCGUGAGGCAUGCUGGAGGUAUCAGAAGUGCGAAUGCUGACAUAAGUAACGAUAAAGCGGGUGAAAAGCCCGCUCGCCGGAAGACCAAGGGUUCCUGUCCAACGUUAAUCGGGGCAGGGUGAGUCGACCCCUAAGGCGAGGCCGAAAGGCGUAGUCGAUGGGAAACGGGUUAAUAUUCCCGUACUUGGUGUUACUGCGAAGGGGGGACGGAGAAGGCUAUGUUGGCCGGGCGACGGUUGUCCCGGUUUAAGCGUGUAGGUGUGUGUUCCAGGUAAAUCCGGUUCACUUUAACACUGAGGCGUGACGACGAGGCACUACGGUGCUGAAGCAACAAAUGCCCUGCUUCCAGGAAAAGCCUCUAAGCAUCAGGUAACAUCAAAUCGUACCCCAAACCGACACAGGUGGUCAGGUAGAGAAUACCAAGGCGCUUGAGAGAACUCGGGUGAAGGAACUAGGCAAAAUGGUGCCGUAACUUCGGGAGAAGGCACGCUGACACGUAGGUGAAGUGAUUUACUCAUGGAGCUGAAGUCAGUCGAAGAUACCAGCUGGCUGCAACUGUUUAUUAAAAACACAGCACUGUGCAAACACGAAAGUGGACGUAUACGGUGUGACGCCUGCCCGGUGCCGGAAGGUUAAUUGAUGGGGUCAGCGCAAGCGAAGCUCCUGAUCGAAGCCCCGGUAAACGGCGGCCGUAACUAUAACGGUCCUAAGGUAGCGAAAUUCCUUGUCGGGUAAGUUCCGACCUGCACGAAUGGCGUAAUGAUGGCCAGGCUGUCUCCACCCGAGACUCAGUGAAAUUGAACUCGCUGUGAAGAUGCAGUGUACCCGCGGCAAGACGGAAAGACCCCGUGAACCUUUACUAUAGCUUGACACUGAACAUUGAGCCUUGAUGUGUAGGAUAGGUGGGAGGCUUUGAAGUGUGGACGCCAGUCUGCAUGGAGCCGACCUUGAAAUACCACCCUUUAAUGUUUGAUGUUCUAACGUGGACCCGUUACCCGGGUUGCGGACAGUGUCUGGUGGGUAGUUUGACUGGGGCGGUCUCCUCCUAAAGAGUAACGGAGGAGCACGAAGGUUGGCUAAUCCUGGUCGGACAUCAGGAGGUUAGUGCAAUGGCAUAAGCCAGCUUGACUGCGAGCGUGACGGCGCGAGCAGGUGCGAAAGCAGGUCAUAGUGAUCCGGUGGUUCUGAAUGGAAGGGCCAUCGCUCAACGGAUAAAAGGUACUCCGGGGAUAACAGGCUGAUACCGCCCAAGAGUUCAUAUCGACGGCGGUGUUUGGCACCUCGAUGUCGGCUCAUCACAUCCUGGGGCUGAAGUAGGUCCCAAGGGUAUGGCUGUUCGCCAUUUAAAGUGGUACGCGAGCUGGGUUUAGAACGUCGUGAGACAGUUCGGUCCCUAUCUGCCGUGGGCGCUGGAGAACUGAGGGGGGCUGCUCCUAGUACGAGAGGACCGGAGUGGACGCAUCACUGGUGUUCGGGUUGUCAUGCCAAUGGCACUGCCCGGUAGCUAAAUGCGGAAGAGAUAAGUGCUGAAAGCAUCUAAGCACGAAACUUGCCCCGAG